rnacentral:rRNA from 1 species
UACGUAGGGUGCGAGCGUUGUCCGGAAUUAUUGGGCGUAAAGAGCUCGUAGGCGGUCUGUCGCGUCGAUCGUGAAAACUUGGGGCUUAACCCUGAGCUUGCGGUCGAUACGGGCAUGACUGGAGUUCGGCAGGGGAGACUGGAAUUCCUGGUGUAGCGGUGAAAUGCGCAGAUAUUAGGAGGAACACCAAUGGCGAAGGCAGCUCUCUGGUACGUGACUGACACUGAGACGCGAAAGCGUGGGGAGCGAACAGG